UGAGAGGAUGAUCAGCCUCACUGGAACUGAGACACGGUCCAGACACCCACGGGUGGCAGCAGUCGAGAAUUUUUCUCAAUGGGGGAAACCCUGAAGGAGCGACGCCGCGUGGGGGAUGAAGGGCUUCGGCCCGUAAACCCCUGUCAUUUGCGAACAAACCUGAUGCAAUAACACUGCAUGAGUUGAUUGUAGCGAAAGAGGAAGGGACGGCUAACUCUGUGCCAGCAGCCGCGGUAAUACAGAGGUCCCGAGCGUUGUUCGGAUUCACUGGGCGUAAAGGGUGCGCAGGUGGGCUGGUAAGUUCGAUGUGAAAGCCCCGGGCUUAACCCGGGAAAGGCAUUGGAUACUACUGGUCUGGAGGAUCGGAGGGGGGACUGGAAUUCUUGGUGUAGCAGUGAAAUGCGUAGAUAUCAAGAGGAACACCAGUGGCGAAGGCGAGUCCCUGGACGAUACCUGACACUGAGGCACG
rnacentral:rRNA from 1 species